GUGCCAGCAGCCGCGGUAAUACGAAGGGGGCUAGCGUUGCUCGGAAUUACUGGGCGUAAAGGGAGCGUAGGCGGACUGUUAAGUUAGAGGUGAAAGCCCAGGGCUCAACCUUGGAAUUGCCUUUGAUACUGGCAGUCUUGAGUACGGAAGAGGUAUGUGGAACUCCGAGUGUAGAGGUGAAAUUCGUAGAUAUUCGGAAGAACACCAGUGGCGAAGGCGACAUACUGGUCCGUUACUGACGCUGAGGCUCGAAAGCGUGGGGAGCAAACAGGAUUAGAUACCCCGGUAGUCC
rnacentral:rRNA from 1 species